UCUUUCCUGGAGAUGGAUCAACAUGCCUCCCAAGUCCUGGUGCCUCUCAAGUCCUGGUGCCUCUCUAUCUGUGCAUCAUCUUCUCAGGCUUCUUCUAAAAUGGAGUACAAAGAACCAUAGCACAAAGGAGUUAAAUUCAUAAAGUGCCCAGAACCAUGGCUGCCAUAUGGUUACCUCAAGAAGGAUAUACGUGACACGCGUAAACGUGACCACAACUUUGCAAAAAAACUGCAGGACUAAGAGUCAAGAGUUAAGAGGAGAUUUUUUCGGGAGUCUGAGGCAGGAGGACCACUUCAGGCCAGGAAGCUGAGGCCACAGUGAGCUGUAAUUGUGCCAUACAUAUAGACCCCCACACAUAAAAGUAGCAGAGGGAAAAACUGAUUUCUAGGUCAACAACUUAUGACAGAGGUACAUGGGAGCAGAAGAAAGGUAGGCAGAGGAGUCCAUGGAUCUACGAUGGCAGAGAUGAGUGAGAAGACAACGGGAAGUGUGAGAACAGGUGUAAAAUAUAAUUCUGAGGCAUUCAGCCACUAGAAAGGAUGAGAGAAGGUAGUAACAAAAAGGAACCUGAAUAUCAGACAAUAUGUAAGGUUUUACAAAGUAUAAAGGACAAUGUGUGAGGACAGGAAAAGGUAUGUGGAUGAAGGAGAACAGCCACCACAGUGGCGGCACAGACGAAGCAGGAAGGCUGACAUCAGAACAGCAACAGGAGGGGCGCCUGGCCCCUCUAGAAUCUGGUGAAAGAAGAAGAAUAAUGAAACACACAAAAAUGAUGACUGGAAGCGUCAUUCAGGAAUCUAAAAAUCUCAUACCAAGCAAUACUCUAUAUGUCUACAGCCUGGAAGAAAACAUCCUUUGAAGCACUUCAGAGGACUCAAUGCUGACUGAAAAACUGUGGCCUGCCUGUCAUUUACUCACCCGCGCAGAUCCUUCCCACUUCUUUCUCCACCAUACAGUUUGUCUUCUUGCUUCAACAGAGGAUCAUAUUAACUAUUGGGAAAAUGACACAGUAUUACAAUGUUAAUGCUGGGUCCAAAGUACCAUCCUAGAACUCAGGCUGAGCCCUGGGGUCUCCUGGCCUUCUGAAGAAUGAGGGUGCAACUUCCAAAGAUGCACAGAACAAAGUAAUGACCUUCUGCCUUAGUGACUAAAGCACACACAAUCAUGUGGGCAAAGGGACUAGGGCCAUUAGAAUCCUAAACUUCAAAGCCAUGCUCAUUAAACCAUUUAAAGUCUACACACAUCCAGAAAUGGGAGAAAGGGAGAAUUACCUUUCAGAAUUUUACUUACACAGGAGAGCUGUUCACACCUUGUGUGAGUGAUUGCUGUUUUUCUCUAGCACCACACUCCCACUCAGGGUCCUGAGAGGAUUUUAACUACAGCCCUUAUUCGUGGAUGAAUUCAACACCCAUGUCUGACUUUAACACGUUCCCAUCAGAACUAAAGCACAUGGGCACAAUGUGAAGAAGUUGUUCUGACAGUACUCAAGAAUAAAAACUCAAACAUUUUCCU